AAAAGAAGUGAUAAGUAAUGUUUAAUAAACUGACAAUGCCUGUGACGCUAAUGAAAAGUGCAAGGCCAUUUGCAAGCGUUAAAGAACUUCUGACAUGUCUUUUAAUAGGUUUUUCUUUCGUUCGUGUAUCCGGAUGGGAAAGGGAAAAAAUGAUGAUUGCAUUCAAUUUCGUUUAUUUGUGCUGGAAACUCCGAUUUUCUCUGAACGGCCUUAAAACAAUCUAGGAAACUUCACGAGUAAGAAUUUCCUAUAUUUUGAGUCCCAAAAUAUCUAUGCUAGAUUCUCAUCCGAUGUAAAUUUUGAAAGCUCUUGCCACAACGUAUGUUUACCGCGGGAAUAAAAGAGUCUGGCGGGCACUAAGUAAACUAGCUUCCACGGAAAACAGCAAACUCUUCUGGCCAUGUUCACGGUAUAUAUUCAGUAUUUAUCGGCAUCAUCAACCAUUUAAAUCCUUUCAUCAAAGUAAACACUCAAACUCAAUGAAACGGUAAACAUUAACAGUAAAUAUUACGUUCUACAGCAACUUUACUAACGUUUAAUGGCAACCAAAUUUUAAAUCUUAGAAAAGCUCAUAUUUUGAUAUUAUUUAUAUUUUAUUGUUCGUUUCAAGUGGACCGUCUCGCUUCGAUGCUGAAAUAUGCGCUUUUCUGUUAACCAUAACUUGUUUAUAUUUUUCGUCUUUACAAGAUUAUUAGGGCUUUUCAAGGCGACAGCGAGACAGGGCGUCAAUAAUUAUGGAGUCCACAGUCAGACUUCACGUUCUUGGAAAAUACAACAGAGCCGCGCGAGUGCGAGGUGUCCGUGGAGGGACGGUGCAAUUGCGCUAAUGAGCGCAGCUCCCGUUAGAAUUGUUUCCUGGAUUUUCUUCAAUUUGCUUAUUCAUGAAGCGACGACUGGGUAAGACUGGAUACUAGUUACUUUUGAAGAAAUGGCAACCUUCACUCAACUGUUCAGAGGAGGUCAGUCAACCAGCUUAGACAAGAUUACGAAGAACAUCCGAAGGCCAGCCAUUUACAAUAGAAAUUAUCAUCAUAAGAUUCUAAGGAGAAAAAAGCAGAGCGCCAUUGAGGAAAAGGUUGAUAUCCAGAGUAUUUUAAGAAGUUCAGAAAAAAGUUCAAGUGAAUCAUCUAGCAUGAGGCACAGUGUCAGCGAUGCCAAUAGUCUUACUGCAGCCAAAAAGCCUUCUAAGAAUGUCGAUAUUCAAAUGUGGCAGAGAUCACAAGAAAGAACAUCCUUACUGAGGAAGGGUGAAAAAAGGGUGGCUAUUAUAGCAGUUGUGUCAAUGCUGAUAGGAUUUGUGGCCAUUAAAUCAUUUGUUUCUGUUGGUAAAAAAUGGAGAAUCUCUGGUGACUCAGUUGGGGAGCAGUCUUCAUAAGAGGUGAGUUACAGUACUCAGUCAAGACUGUCCUCUAAGAACUGUGAAGGAGAGCAAGAUGUGCAAACCAAGCUAAAAGACUGUGAAUGGUUUAAGUAAACAAACAGUUAACUAAGGUAACUUGAGAAACAUAAAGAGGAGAACUGCCAAGGAUGUGAAGCCUGGGUUUUAUUUUAUAUACAAUAAUAAUGCUUAAGAGUUGUUCCUUAAAUUAUAAAGAUUUAACUUUUUUGAGGAUGUAAAACAUGUCAGCUUGAAAGAUUGACACAUAUACAAGCACAGGUCUCCCAAGAACACAAAACAAUGAUUUGGGAUUCAGGUUACCUCCUGAACCAAUGAUAAGAGAUAUAAUCUGGAGUCACUUUGUCAAUGACAAACAGGCAUCAAGCAAAACUUUUUGUUGAUGCCUGUUAAGUUUCAAUGUUUUGCUGUGUGUAAAUACUAGAAGAAAACAUUUUUUACAAGCAGGAUAACAGCAUGGGACUUUGCAAGAAGUUAACUCUAAAUAAGCUUUCCUAUUUCUUUUGAAAUUUGGUGCAAAAUAAGGAUAUCUCAGGAUUCAAAGUUACAUUAAAAACAAUUUUUAUGCCUGUCUGCCCUAAAGAUGUCAGCCAUUUCAUGAUCAUUGUCAGUUUCUAAAGUCACAAAUGUAUCAAUAAAAUUUGAUGAGUG